GAUAAUUACUAACUUGUAAACCCAACAAUCCAAAUCAAACAUCAAUCAACAAUUAAAUUAAAAUAACUUAGUGGUCCCGAUAGUUACUACCAACACAAAAUUAUAUCCGAGUCUCAUAUACAAAUUCACAUUUAACAAGCACGUAUAAUACACACAUAUAACAACCGGCUAAUUAUAGACACAAUCCUGAUUUUAAGUAUUAAUAUUAGUAGAAAUUAACUAACAUUAAUCCGAAUUUAAGCAUCCAAUCAACAACUCAAUCCGACCCAAAUAACCAAAAUCAUAAUAAUCGAAUUAUAUACACGAGACUGGGUUAUACCGCGCUAACACAACACUGGAGGCUGAAGAACAGGGCUGGAUUCGUCCGAAAACAGCAAGCCUGCGUCUGGAUUGCCUAGGAACUCGAAGAAUCGCGGGUGAAUUAAUCAGAAGAAACAACACAGUGGUGGUGCCGGCGACUGGCCGGAGUUUGAACAGCGGCGGCGGCGGGUUUCGGGGGAAAAGAAAAGAACGGGGAACAAAGGUGGAAGAGGAAUGGAGGAGAUAUGUACGGGAGAGAGUGUGAGAGAUUAGCAGAGGGGGU
rnacentral:lncRNA from 1 species